rnacentral:rRNA from 1 species
CAGGCUUAACACAUGCAAGUCGAGGGGCAGCAUGGUCUUAGCUUGCUAAGGCCGAUGGCGACCGGCGCACGGGUGAGUAACACGUAUCCAACCUGCCGUCUACUCUUGGACAGCCUUCUGAAAGGAAGAUUAAUACAAGAUGGCAUCAUGAGUCCGCAUGUUCACAUGAUUAAAGGUAUUCCGGUAGACGAUGGGGAUGCGUUCCAUUAGAUAGUAGGCGGGGUAACGGCCCACCUAGUCUUCGAUGGAUAGGGGUUCUGAGAGGAAGGUCCCCCACAUUGGAACUGAGACACGGUCCAAACUCCCUACGGGAGGCAGCAGUGAGGAAUAUUGGUCAAUGGGCGAGAGCCUGAACCAGCCAAGUAGCGUGAAGGAUGACUGCCCUAUGGGUUGUAAACUUCUUUUAUAAAGGAAUAAAGUCGGGUAUGGAUACCCGUUUGCAUGUACUUUAUGAAUAAGGAUCGGCUAACUCCGUGCCAGCAGCCGCGGUAAUACGGAGGAUCCGAGCGUUAUCCGGAUUUAUUGGGUUUAAAGGGAGCGUAGAUGGAUGUUUAAGUCAGUUGUGAAAGUUUGCGGCUCAACCGUAAAAUUGCAGUUGAUACUGGAUAUCUUGAGUGCAGUUGAGGCAGGCGGAAUUCGUGGUGUAGCGGUGAAAUGCUUAGAUAUCACGAAGAACUCCGAUUGCGAAGGCAGCCUGCUAAGCUGCAACUGACAUUGAGGCUCGAAAGUGUGGGUAUCAAACAGGAUUAGAUACCCUGGUAGUCCACACGGUAAACGACGAAUACUCGCUGUUUGCGAUAUACUGCAAGCGGCCAAGCGAAAGCGUUAAGUAUUCCACCUGGGGAGUACGCCGGCAACGGUGAAACUCAAAGGAAUUGACGGGGGCCCGCACAAGCGGAGGAACAUGUGGUUUAAUUCGAUGAUACGCGAGGAACCUUACCCGGGCUUAAAUUGCAGAUGAAUUACGGUGAAAGCCGUAAGCCGCAAGGCAUCUGUGAAGGUGCUGCAUGGUUGUCGUCAGCUCGUGCCGUGAGGUGUCGGCUUAAGUGUCAUAACGAGCGCAACCCUUGUUGUCAGUUACUAACAGGUUCCGCUGAGGACUCUGACAAGACUGCCAUCGUAAGAUGUGAGGAAGGUGGGGAUGACGUCAAAUCAGCACGGCCCUUACGUCCGGGGCUACACACGUGUUACAAUGGGGGGUACAGAGGGCCGCUACCACGCGAGUGGAUGCCAAUCCCCAAAACCUCUCUCAGUUCGGACUGGAGUCUGCAACCCGACUCCACGAAGCUGGAUUCGCUAGUAAUCGCGCAUCAGCCACGGCGCGGUGAAUACGUUCCCGGGCCUUGUACACACCGCCCGUCAAGCCAUGGGAGCCGGGGGUACCUGAAGUGCGUAACGGCGAGGAGCGCCCUAGGGUAAAACUGGUGAC